UCAAACUUGGUCAUUUAGAGGAAGUAAAAGUCGUAACAAGGUUUCCGUAGGUGAACCUGCGGAAGGAUCAUCAUUGAAUCCCAUUUUUACAAACCCUUGUGAAUCGUAUGCAAAAGAGUGUUUGGCGGAUUUGGCUCGGCGGUCGUGGUGUGCCGUGUGCACGCGACGGUCGUUGUGGCUGCGUCUCCUCUCGGACGAGAGUGAGCGGUCCGCCAUCCGCUCGCAUUUCAAACACACACUUCAAUAAACUAAACAAAAUAAAUUAAUAAAUACAACUUUCAACAAUGGAUCUCUUGGCUCUUGCAUCGAUGAAGAACGCAGC
rnacentral:misc_RNA from 1 species